rnacentral:tRNA from 1 species
GUGCGACGUGGGCAAGCAGGCGGCCGGCCUUGUCGCGAACGGCCGGGGAUGUGUUCCUGUCAUGUGUCGCAGC